GUUGUACAGAUGGUUCAACACACACAAAUCAAGGAAUGUGAUAUACUACAUCAGCAGAAUUAAGAAAAAAAUAUGUAUCUCAAUGAAUGUAGAAAGAGCGGUUUAUAAAAUUCAGCAUUUCUUCAUGAUUAAAACACUCAUCAGGUUAGGUAGAGAAGGAACACGCCUUAAAACAAUAAAGGCGUUGCGGGGGGAGGCGGAUUUCCAAGAUGGCGGAAUAGGAAUAGCUCUGAAGUGCAGUUCCCAGGGAGAGCAACACAAAGGACACGGAGCAUAUUCACACAUUCUCCAGGGGCAACGAAUCCAGUUCUCAUCCAGCUACUUAAAACAGCUGAAGAUAAAAGAUGACAAGCAUGGAAUUAGUGGAUUUUCAUUUCAAAAUAUCACGAAUUUGGAUGGAUAUUUCACCUCUGGGUACAAUAUGUGGCUGAGUCUGCUGGGUGAUAGCUGGUCCAGAAAGAAGAUGGAGGUCUGCAAUCUGCUUGCUUUGGAUAAUAGUAAUUUUUCCAGAAAAUACACUCCCCUGUGCUGUUUAGUUUCUACAUAAUUAUGUUUACAUAUACAUCUCUCUAUAUGCCUAAUUUAUAUAGAUGUUUAUCAUUACAAACGCAGGGUAUAUAAAAUGAGGAUAAAAUGGACUUAUUUUUGUUUUGGUUUCAGUCAAGGGUCUAGGGCCAAGAAAAAUAAAAUAUUGUGAUAAAGAACCGAGUAUCUUAAAGCCG
rnacentral:lncRNA from 1 species